UACGUAGGGUGCAAGCGUUAAUCGGAAUUACUGGGCGUAAAGCGUGCGCAGGCGGUUCGUUGUGUCGGUGGUGAAAUCCCCGGGCUUAACCUGGGAAUGGCCAUGGAAACUGGCGAACCGGAGUGCGGCAGAGGGGGGUGGAAUUCCGCGUGUAGCAGUGAAAUGCGUAGAGAUGCGGAGGAACACCGAUGGCGAAGGCAGCCCCCUGGGCUUGCACUGACGCUCAGGCACGAAAGCGUGGGGAGCAAACAGG
rnacentral:rRNA from 1 species